UAAGGAAUUCAGUGUGGAUGAGGUGACGGUCACAGUUCUACAAGUGGUAAAGACGCUGGAAAGUUGAAUCAGUCUGGACUUUCAGGUGGAAGAAAUGCAGAAGGUGAAAUACUAAAGCAGCCGAAGUCCAGUCAAGGUCAAAGUAAACCAAAGACGCUCAAGGAGCUACAGAUGGAAUACUACCAGCAAGCAAUAGCUGGCCAAAAAGUCCAGACAGAGUGUUUAGCUUGCAGACGUUUUAAUUGCUAAAUUCUCGUCUAGCUAAUUUAUAUUAUUAGCUUGACUA